GCGCAUGGAGUUGUGGAACGGCAUCUGAGUCUCCGGAAGUCUUCCUCUUCAGAAGCCCCAAGUGCUCGGAAGACUAUUGGGAGGAAGGGAGGUAUCCUCAGCAUCAAAGGCAAUGGGGUCGCACUGAACGUACCCCAAGGCGCUCUUCUAGGUAAUGAAGACAUCAAACUGCAGCUUCUUGGAGAGGAACUGCCAGAAGAAUUCACGUCAAAGGAUGAGGUGUCACUCUGUCCUGCUAUCCGGUGUUUUCCUUCCGGUCAGACCUUUUCUCAACCAGUACAGCUCAUACUCACACACUGCGCCGAGCUGACUGGACAGGUUCUGUCUGGAGAGGGCAGCCUUUUGCUUUACUCCCGACAGGCAGAUUCGUUCGACGAU